GGAACCUUCCACAAUGGGCGAAAGCCUGAUGGAGCAACGCCGCGUGUGUGAUGAAGGGUUUCGGCUCGUAAAACACUGUUGUAAGAGAAGAAUGGCAUUGAGAGUAACUGUUCAAUGUGUGACGGUAUCUUACCAGAAAGGAACGGCUAAAUACGUGCCAG
rnacentral:rRNA from 1 species